UAAAAAUAAUACUUACAACUACCCAGUAACUCCUAGAACAAGGACAAACUCAAGUUUUGUUUUGGUGACAGUUUUCUGACAAGAUUAAUAGAGCACAAUGGACAGGUCCCCCAUUUGACUUUCAAGGAACAAUCAUAAAACAGGGUAAUCUUUACUGCAUCAAAUUCCCAAAACUACGCCUUUGAAGUAAGUUGACAUAAUACUUGUUGUUUCUUCUCAAAUUUUUAAUGGUUCUCCACAGUAUGCUAGGUCCUUAUUUUCUCAUUGGCUGUAAUUUGACAAGUUCUCCAAAAGCACUAUCAUGAACUUAAUUAGAUAAUACUUUCCAGCUGUACUUAAAUCAGAAGGAUCGUAGGCCUGAUAAGCAGGUCAACCUGAAGCUACCAGGCAGCUCUGGAGGCUCCCGUGGCCAUAGCUAACAGUGCACAGGAGGGCCCCUGGCCCAGGAUGAGCCCUCAGAACCUUUUAGAGAGAGUGAAAUUCAGGGUCUACUGGGUGUCCAAGCUGCAGAGUGGAGCGUGAGAGGUCAGCUGCCAUGUGAUAGAAAGAGCUGACAUAAGAGAAAAGACCCCCACACAGUGAAAAGCUGGAAGAGAAACAAAACUCUCAACCUGACAGCAGAGUUCCUGGUUCCAACUGUUGAGACCUGUCUCUACCUCCAAUGGUCACAGUAUAUAGUUACCCAGGCCUGGAAAUCUCCCUCUUUUCCUAAUUAGUUUAACUGGUGUUCCUGUUGUUUGCAAACAGCAACUGCAUCUUCAGACAGCACUGAGCAAGUAAAAGGUGUGGGACGGUCCUGAAAGGAGAUGAUGGGAAGGCAGAGCUGGCUGGCAGCAAUGUCUCUCUGGCCAGAAGGUCAGGGGCGGCCUCAUCUGAGUAGCAAACACCUUUAUAUUUUUGAAAUUACUUGUCCUACUUCCUGGUACUACUUAAACCAUUCUGUUGAUUAAGCUGGGUAAUUUAGUAUCAAUGAAACACUAAUAAUCCUUAAAGAGUGAAUGACUGGGCUACAUGUCAACAAGACUAAGGUUAAACCUUAUUGAAACUUCAUAAAAAGCAUAUUAUGAUGUUAAUGUUCAUGUUUGUCUUUAAAAUGGGUCAACGUUUAAAGGGGGACAGAGGCAGGGCAAUGUGAAUGUUAAAAUCGGUCCAGCUCGGCUUUCAUCUCAUUUUGUUCAGUUUCUGUGUUGGAUAGAUCCACUGGAAUUUCAGUUUUCUUUGUUGCUGACAUCUCGGAUGUUCUGUCCAUGUUUAAGGAACCUUUUACUGGGUGGCACUGCUUUAAUUGCUAUUGGAGUAGCUAGGUUUGAGUUGUAUUUUGAUAAAAGCUGGAGAAUAUCUUCUGGAAUUUUAGUUACUUCCGGAGGUGUAGGUGUUCUGAGCAGAUUCUCAUAAGAAGAAAUCGUAGGUGAAGAGGGAUCUGUUAAAUUCUCAAAGCAUGUGUCUGAAUUUAAAACCAACGAAGUACGAUCUUCAACUUCCAAAUCAUUUGAUGAACUAUUUGUUUUUGAUAAUGGGUAAUUUGUGGAUACCAAAGCUAUGCUGUUCUUUGUAGAUGGAAUUUUCAAACCAGGAGUACAGAAUGUAGGUACCAAAGGAGAGUUGGUAUAUUCGGCAUCACUUUUUUCCAACUGCUGGAUGAUGGGGCUGGGAGUGGCAAAAACAUUAUCAUUGAGCCUGGAUUCUGUAUCUAUGGCCUCCUCACUUUUAUUAUUCCUCGCAUUUUUAAGUCCCAUUGUGUAAUCUUCAUUUAAACACAUAGUAUAUUCAGAGAUACCAAAGUGUUCUAAUUUAGGAGUUACACACUCAAAAUCAUCCAUUUUUAGUGCACAUUUUGGAGUUUUUAGUACUUUUACUAGUGAUUGUUUGGUAGGUGGGGUUACAAUUACGGGCUCUUCCUUAUAGUUGUUCACUGCCUGUGGAGGGUUUGGUAGAACUUGGGAUACGAUGUACCGCUCAAGUCCAAAAUCUGAAAGUUGUGGACUACGUGGAGACUUCUCAGAAAUACAACUGCUUGCAACAGGAGGAUCAGACAGAUCAUCUUUCACAUCAGUCUUCUGAAAAUUUUCACAAUUAGACAACUCUGGGUCAGAGUUAAUGGCUUCUUGCUCGUGUACUGAAUUUUUCUUGACACGUGGACUAUAUCCAUACUUCUGGAAAUACUCUCUUAUUUUCAUAAUAUCCAUUGAAUUUUUUUCCAUUAGUACUUUUGUUGCCUUUAUGAAAUCAAUGCCUUCUUGAUUUUCCAAUCUUGCUUUAUCAAGAAGAAUAUUAACAUCAUCCGCUUUCCUCUCCGUCCAGCGCUCGCUGCAGCCGGGCCGUCUCGCAGUCCAGCGUGCUGGCCAGAGACCGCAGCUUCCCGCAGAAGCUCCGGAUAGGGUCCAUGCUGAGCACAGCGGGGAAGGACUCCAGGCGUACGCAGA
rnacentral:lncRNA from 1 species